rnacentral:lncRNA from 1 species
AUCGCAGCCGGAGCGCAGGCCCUGCCCACGGGCCCCUUAGCUGCCUCUGGGCGGCAUGUCUGCCGAGGUUCUUCUCUCUAGCUGCGCCGCGCCUUCAGGCUCGCUUCCCCAGGCUGUCUGGUGGGCGGAAUCCGCGCGUCGGUGUUCCUGACCCUCGUGGGUUCCAGUGGAACCCUCCGAAACCCAAAAGGCGCCGCCUCUUAAUGCAAACUGUAGUCACCGACUCGUCCAGUCUGUUGGUAUUCGCGUCGUCCUUUGUGCUGGGCAAAGUAACCGAGAAGUAACGGAGAGCGCGCAUUUUCUACACCUAGAGCUCCCCGAGGGAGCCUGGGCCAGCAAGUCUUUCCAUUCUUGAGAUGCCUUUUCUCCUGGAUUGACAAGUGUUUUAUCCAUUGGUGUCUUAACCCGGGCGAACUCUUUCCAAAUUCCCAUGCCAAACGCAGUUAACAAAUCGAUGAUUUCUAAAUAAGUUUGUACCCUGCACCUAAACCAACGCCAUUUAUAUAACUAAAAUAAAUUGCGUAUUUAAAUGCAUGUCCUGGACGCUUUAUUCACUUCACAGGAUUACCCAUAGCCAUUUAAAAAUGUGAAAAUCGGCUAAGUGUGGUGGCUCACGCCUGUAAUCCCAGCGCUUUGGGAGGCUGAGGUGGGAGGAUCACUUGAACC